GACGAACGCUGGCGGCGUGCUUAACACAUGCAAGUCGAACGAAGUGGCGCACGGGUGAGUAACGCGUAAUCAACCUGCCCUUCAGAGGGGGACAACAGUUGGAAACGACUGCUAAUACCGCAUACUGUAGGAGGGGAUUGCGUCUGAUUCGCUAGUUGGAGGGGUAACGGCCCACCAAGGCGAGGAUCAGUAGCCGGUCUGGGAGGAUGAACGGCCACAGUGGGACUGGGACACGGCCCAGACUCCUUCGGGGGGCAGCAGUGGGGAAUCUUCCGCAAUGGACGAAAGUCUGACGGAGCAACGCCGGGUGAGUGAUGACGGCCUUCGGGUUGUAAAGCUCUGUUAAUCGGGACGCGGUACCGGAAUAGAAAGCCACGGCUAACUACGUGCCAGCAGCCGCGGUAAUAC
rnacentral:rRNA from 1 species